rnacentral:rRNA from 1 species
GAAUAUUGGACAAUGGGCGGAAGCCUGAUCCAGCCAUGCCGCGUGUGUGAAGAAGGCCUUUUGGUUGUAAAGCACUUUAAGCGAGGAGGAGGAGCUCUUGGUUAAUACCCAAGAUGCUUGGACGUUACUCGCAGAAUAAGCACCUGCUAACUCUGUGCCACCCGCCUCGGUAAUACAGAGGGUGCAAGCGGUAAUCGGAUUGCCUUGGCGUAAAGCGCGCGUAGGUGGCCAAGUAAGUCAAAUGUGAAAUCCCCGAGCUUAACUUGGGAAGUGCAUUCGGUACUGGUUGGCUAGAGUAUGGGAGAGGAUGGUAGAAUUCCAGGUGUAGCGGUGAAAUGCGUAGAGAUCUGGAGGAAUACCGAUGGCGAAGGCAGCCAUCUGGCCUAAUACUGACACUGGGGUGCGAAAGCAUGGGGAGCAAACA